rnacentral:lncRNA from 10 species
UGCUCUCUGCUGGAUAAGUGGUGGCCAAGAGAACCACGUGUGCUGGUGGAAAAGCGCUGGACCUGCUGCCCAGCACCACAGCCGACAGCAGCAAAUGGCCAUUGAACACUUCAAAAUGCGGUUAUCAGUGGAUGCCUCACCUUAGAAAAGUCCCGUAAAACUGAGGAAGAUUGUGGGAGGUAUCCUUGGGGGUCAUCUAGACCAGCACUCCAGCCUGCCCCAAAUCUACAGAUCAAAAAAGCAAAGUCCAGAGAAGUAACGUCUCAAGGUCACAUAAGUCAGUCCCUAUCAACAACAGCACUAAAAUCAAGGCUUCCUAAAACCAGUCGGAUCAUUGUUCCAUUAUAGCAUAUGGUAAUUCUUGUUAGAUGGAAAACAGAAAUAUUUAGAA